CGCGGCCUAUCAGCUUGUUGGUGGGGUAAUGGCCUACCAAGGCGACGACGGGUAGCCGGCCUGAGAGGGCGACCGGCCACACUGGGACUGAGACACGGCCCAGACUCCUACGGGAGGCAGCAGUGGGGAAUAUUGCACAAUGGGCGGAAGCCUGAUGCAGCGACGCCGCGUGAGGGAUGACGGCCUUCGGGUUGUAAACCUCUUUCACCCAUGACGAAGCGCAAGUGACGGUAGUGGGAGAAGAAGCGCCGGCCAACUACGUGCCAGCAGCCGCGGUAAGACGUAGGGCGCGAGCGUUGUCCGGAAUUAUUGGGCGUAAAGAGCUCGUAGGCGGCUUGUCGCGUCGGCUGUGAAAUCCCGUGGCUCAACUGCGGGUCUGCAGCCGAUACGGGCAGGCUAGAGUUCGGUAGGGGAGACUGGAAUUCCUGGUGUAGCGGUGAAAUGCGCAGAUAUCAGGAGGAACACCGAUGGCGAAGGCAGGUCUCUGGGCCGAUACUGACGCUGAGGAGCGAAAGCGUGGGGAGCGAACAGGAUUAGAUACCCUGGUAGUCCACGCUGUAAACGUUGGGCGCUAGGUGUGGGGGACCUCUCCGGUUCUCUGUGCCGCAGCUAACGCAUUAAGCGCCCCGCCUGGGAGUACG
rnacentral:rRNA from 1 species